rnacentral:rRNA from 1 species
UACGCAGGGCGCGAGCGUUGUCCGGAAUUAUUGGGCGUAAAGAGCUCGUAGGCGGCUUGUCGCGUCGUCCGUGAAAACCUGCAGCUCAACUGCAGGCUUGCGGUCGAUACGGGCAGGCUAGAGUUCGGUAGAGGAGACUGGAAUUCAUGGUGUAGCAGUGAAAUGCGUAGAGAUCAUGAGGAAGACCAGUGGCGAAGGCGGGUCUCUGGACAGUUCCUGACAUGAGGCACGAAGGCCAGGGGAGCAAACGGG